UGCGAAAUAGAGCCGAGAGCGGCUCUCCUCGACGUCCACGCACGCGUAUUUUGCAACGUCCGACUUGGAAAGUGACUGCGUAAUCGCGAGUGAAGUGAAUUCACCGGGCUACCUGGCCGUUCGUUCGCGCGAGCGUGUGCACUCCAGGCUCCGCGUAGUCGUCAGCCCGAUGGUUCGGGUGUCACGGCUCGGUUCUAGCUGUUCCCGGUCCGUCCGCCCGUCCAAGUUCCAUUGAGUUCGUUUCGCGUCGGACGAGGACUCUGUCGACACGCUUCGAUCGUCCGGUCAAGAUGAGGGGUGCCAACCAGGACACGGCCACGCCGUACUGUCGCUGCAGGGUCCUCUACCUGGGCAGCUCGGUGCCUCACGCCAGCAAGGAGGGACUGCUCGGCGUACAGGAGCCGCUCAGAGAACUGUAUCCCGAGCAAGGCGCACUGGGCGCCCGCGGGAUAGACUCCUGGUUGAGCGUCUGGAGCAACGGCCUGCUGCUCGAGAACGUGGACGAGCACCGCAAGAAGGUGACCAGGUUCUUCCCGAUCGAGGCGCUGCACUACUGCGCCGCGGUCAGGCACGUGAAAGGCGGAAGCGGAGACUCGUCGAACACGAGGUUCCUGCCGCUCGACUCCCCGUUCGCCAGGACGCCCAGCGCCAACCACCCGCCCCUGUUCGCCGCGGUGCUCAGACGGACCACCGGCAUCAAGGUGCUCGAGUGUCACGCGUUCAUCUGCAAGCGGGACAUGGCGGCCAAUGCCCUGGUCAGGUGUUGCUUCCACGCGUACGCGGACAGCAGCUACGCCAAGGGCCUGGACCCGUCCGCGGCGACGACCAACGGGGUCACCGCCAGCCAUCCGUCCAGCAACAGCCUCUACCACACCCUGGGCGGUUCCAGCACCACUCUGGACAGUCCGCAGGCGAACCGCUUGGACGCCACGUCCACCGACGACCUGAGCCUCUACAACGGCGACGAGAAUCACAAGGUCUGGGCCAGGGGUCGCGACGAGGUGGACGGUCUGUACCAGGAGCAGGGCACCCUGAGAAGCACCAAGGGUUCCAGGCCUCGUCAACUGAUCGCGCCACCUCCCCCGCCGCCGCCGCCACCGCCGCCCGCUCAGCCCCUGCUCCUCGAGGAGUCCUCGUCCUCCUCGGUUCGCAGGAAAGCGAACAAGAAGCUGAAGAAGCUGAAAAACAGGACCUCCCACGAGGACCCUCUGCAGCAGCCUCAUCUCCAUCCCCAGCUGCACCAGGGGAUCUACACGAACGGCCAUGGACACCACACUCUCGGCCACCCUGUCAGGCAGCAGCACUACCACCCCCAUCCCCUGCCGCCCAGCAGUCGAUCGGUCGCCGGUACUUUGGCUAGACCGGCGCCGGUACUCCUGGUGCCCGCUGCCACGUUGCCCAGAAAGGCUCACCAUCAUCCCAGAGGUCUCAGGCCCAUUCCCGCGGCUGCCCCCAUCGUUCCGGUGUACGCUCCGCUCCCGGUGGUUCCUCCGCCACCGCCGGCGGCCGCCAUGUAUCCCGCUGGGACGUACGGCACCGCCGGGAACAGGGGCAGAAGACAGCACCCGGACGCGGACACGUCGACCUUAGGCGCCUCCAGGCGGCUGGCCGCGUCGCACGCCGACCUGACCACGGCGGAGAUGAACAGGGCCGCCGGGGACAGUCCCGAGAACGAGUCACGAUUCGGCACCGGGAUCUACCGGCGGAAGGGCCACCUGAACGAGAGGGCGUUCUCCUACAGCAUCCGAGCCGAGCACCGCAGCAGGAGCCACGGUAGCCUGGCGUCCCUCGGAUUCAGCGGCCAGAACGGCAACGCUCUGCCCAAGGAGGAGAAGAAGGACAGAGAGAUCGCGCAGUUGGUGGCUGGCUUGAGUCUGGACGACAGCCCGGAGAGGACGCCGCCCGCCGCCAACUCCAGGACCGGGUACUCCCAUCAUCAGCAACCGCUGCCCAGGCCUCGGCCCCGUUAGGACCGUCGAGCGGUCAGCCUCGGAAUCGACGUUGCUAGGUGUCUAUUCUGUGUACCGCGCGGAUCCUCGAUCCUCGGGGGUUCGUUCGAACAAUGGCGACGCGUCGGUCCGACAGAGGCCUGGCCGACUACUCUUGUCUCAUGGACCUGGUGGAUCGGAGUGAUCGUCCGUUACUUUUUAUCGCCUGAUUCGUAGAGGAGCGGUUCGGUUUCUGCGAGUCUGGACGUUGGCUCGACAGUGAAUGGAUGUUUCGGUCUUCACGCAGACUGUGUCUCCGUAGUAUGGACUCUGCUCGAGAAUGUAUAGGAGGCCUCGGAUCUCGCUUGACACGUUGAGCCCGGUGCACACCGAGAAGUAUCCAUUGAACGCGUCAUUCGCGGGUUGGACGUAGGAUGAUUUCACUUGCAGCUACAUCGGUCGAAGCUGCCUCAUCGUUGGUAACUUAUCAGAGGAGAGAAGGAACCUAUGUCCUUUUACGGGUUCUAGACUAUAAACGAACGAACAGGCGUCGCGCAACCCAAUUUCACCGUGGCGCUCAACGUAUCAGGAACGAGAGAAGAGAGCCUCUGCCCCCGGGGGGCAAACGGUCCAUCGGUCCGCGGUGUCCGCGUGGAAAAUCGCGAUGGGCGGCCUGACUGGCCGCGUCAGACUGGUUCAGGUGGCUUUCAAUUCUCGGAACGUCCGCGGCAGGAAAAUUACUCCGGUAAAAAGCCGGUGGCACCCGGCCUCAUCUUAGUCACCGGUUCGUUUCUACCUGUGACCUCGUUCCUCGCGACGAUCGAUCAGGGACGCGACUCUCGCGGAAUUCUUCUUGAAAAUUCGCUCGGAAAUCGAGAACUUUCGGUCCGUUUAUUCAAAUUUUUCGGGAAACCGGAACAUUCGCAGGCUCGCUCGAAGCGUUCUCAAGGCGAGCGAUCCGAGGCGUUGCUCCCAGAAAUUCUAAGAGACUCGCUGGAGAUUCGGAAUAAUUUAUUCGUGUCGUAAAAUCCGCUGUUCGAAAUAUUUCGAGAGAAAGUGUUGCCUCGGAAUCCCAUUAACCCUGGAAGUACCUGUUACAGAGUAGAAAAAAGUCCGUUCUUUCUUUAGUUCGACAAAUAAACAGCCGCUAACGAGCGAGCGCGUUUCACUGGACGAAAGGCUUCGUUGCUCCAAUAGGGGAUUCGGAAAUAGACGUUUCGACGAUCGUAAGACGUCCGGGUUGGGAGGAUUACGGAAACGAGAACGCGACGGUCUUCCUGUCGGGCGGCGAGCUAAUUAGACCGGUCGGAAGUAUUGUCACCUGGCCGAGACGAUCGUUCUAAUGGCUGGAGCUCGUUAGAAGACGAAACCGUGCAGGUAUGCAGCUCGCCGCGCCGCGACGUUUCCUUCGAGAAAACGUGUCGGCGGCUUCGCGCCGGAUCUGGGCGUCUCUUGAUAUGGAAACGAGGCUUUAACCUGUUAACCGGGUGAUCCGCCGAUCGCGCGGUUAGUGGUCCCGAUAGGUAAACAUAAAUAAAAUAUAAUCCGCUCUAACACCGGCGUUAUAAAGUCGUAAAGCCUGAGAACUCCGCGCCGAACGGAUAAGCGAAUCGCUCGUUACCGUUAGGCGAGGACGAUCGAACGCGUCCACCAGCCGACGAGCAGCUCGACGGAUCCGAAACUCUCCGGGGAACGCGCGAAACGAAAAUCGUGUCGCUUUCGCGAGUCGUUCGGCUAAUUAAUUCGAAAGAAUAGCGCUCCGUUUCCCUGCGGCGGGUAACGCGACGGUUUAUAAAUUCCUCCCGGCCGACGAGACCGUCUGUCGGCCGACUCGUGGGAACGCGGACGUUAAUCUUAAUUGCGUGAGAAGAUUCAAUUACGCGACGCGGGGGAAACGCUUCGAAUUACAGUCGAGCGGAGCGGAAUCUCGACUACGGUCGAUACCAGAUAUUACGAAAAAUUAAGGAAAUCUCAUGGAAAACUUGCGCUCAGUUCGUGUAAUCGUUCCCGCAAUCGUUAACCGGCGAAGAUGUACGGGACCGCUGAGAAAACGUUCGGAAUUUACAAGUUUUCCCGAGCGCGUAACGAGCAGCCGCGAGGUUCCCCUGGGAAAAACGAGGGAACGGAUCACGCGCGCGACUAACUAAUAGCAGAGGAAGACUUCGUUUCGCGCACGCUCGCUUUUUCGCGGAAAAUCGGGCGUCGAGACCGUUCAAUGCCGGGAGGACACGCCGAGAUCGCUUUCGACGUUUCGUCGCUUCGCGAGUAAUUACGCGAGCCGACGCCGUGGGAACGAAUUCCGGCGGGCGAUCCUGAUGUAAUCCUGAGACACGGCGGCGGCAACGUCGGCUGGCAACUUGUUCCGGACAAUUAACGCGGCGAGCGUAAUUAGACCGCGGCUUAAUGAUCAGGAAAAUCCGCGAGACCUAUAUUUUUCGGGGAGGGACCCCGACAGCCGCGCGAGAAACUUCUUUCGCGUUGUUAGAGGAGAUCGGGUUAGCUCUAGGAGCUGGGGAAUUGGAAGAUGAGGUACUUAGGGCCACCGUUUAGAGACUUCUCAGAGUUUAAGGAUGGAAAAAUGAAAUUCGAAGCGAUGGAAGUCUAAAAUCGGCAAAUUGGAAGUGCGAGGCUAGGGAAACGAAUAAGAGAAUUGGAAAAUUCAGGCUGCGACGUUAAAUGUCACUGGUCUCACUUGAAAUCUUGGGACUGGGAUCCGGAUUAAACCUGCCGGCGGAACGAUCGGCGCCGAAACUUUUCAGACCGGCUUCGCGGCCGUGUGCUCGGGCACCGAUCGCGAUCGUUUCGAAACCGAUCGCGAACACGCUCUCUUAUGCAUCAGUGGAUACUCAUUGCCAUCGCCGUGUACGCAUACGCAAUUAGGCUUGAUUAUCAUCGGUUCGUGGUCGAUGUCAGCCGGUUACACGCGUCGCGUUUCGCAAUUCCAGACAGAUUUCCUCGCCGAUCGUGACUGGCGUCUCGUUGGCUCGCGUCGGGGAUCCAAUUUACGCCGGGGAACACGCGAGACACCUCCCUUUUAUACCGGCAUUGUUCAAUUAACAGAAAAUCGAGAGACGAGUCAGGUCGCCUUUGUUUGGCGACGGCCGUCCGUCGAUUCGUUCGAUCGGAAUCCUCGAGCCCUCGACUUUUCGACAUUUUAAUCCUCUUAUACACCUCGCCGGCCACAAACGGAAGACCGUAAUAGUCCCUCUCCGGUGACAGCAUUCCAUUCAGCAAUCACGCUCCCCCCCGAUACACGUUUAAUUAAGAUCGCCGCGCAACUUCCUUCGGGCAGGCGCAAAAAGGAGUCACCGCGAGGAUCGUUAAUGGCUAUAAACGGACGUAUGCAAAUCGGCUAGAGUUAAUCGUCGUCUAUCAUCGGCCGCGAACGUGUCGCGUCGCUUCUGUUUCGCAACCGGCCUCUCAAAGGGGAAAUCGAGGGAAAAGUGCAGCGUGGCAGGCCGAUAUUCGUUUCAAGGUACCGACGCGGCGGCGAGUGCAGCGGACCGAAUUAAUACUGAAUACAUAAUCGAUUGGAAAUCGAGUCCCACGUGUGUCCGAAGAAUUCCUUCGUUCUUUACAAGCUCCACAUUCCUCCUCCUCCUCCUCCGUGGAACUAGAAACGCGACGGAGUGUGAGGGAACACGCUCGUUUUCCUUUUUCCAGUUUCUUCGAGAGGCCGAUCGAUGUUUUACGCCUCUGUUAUUACUCCGCCGGUCUCGAUAUCGUUCGCCGUAAUUGUCCGCGAGUAGGUCACGCGAAUCCAUCGGCCGUCCCAACGUUCCCGGCCGCCUUUGUUCCCCGUAGGAAACGAUUAAUAUCGAAACAGACGCGCAAGUAGGCUGGCCGAUCGGUUUUCGUAAGCGUCCCGCGAUCACGAGGGUUUCUGAAACUGGUGACCUAGUGACACUUCGACGUCGAAUCGGACUCGCGUCUCGGCUUGCGAAACGCCGAGACAUUCCUUUCACUGUUCGUGAAUCAGAGGUCGAUAUUAAUACCGUGGGGAAACAAUGAGGCCUGUUCGCUACUGGACAAUCAAGCUACUUUUGUCCGAUGAAAUUGCUUUGAUAACUCUAGGGACCGUGUCCAUUUUAGCUACCGUCUGUAACGACGAAAUACUGGUCAGCGACGCCAUUUUGUAAACGUUCAGUUCCUUAAGUGAACCGAUUUCUAUCGAAUAUCGUAGGCGAAAAAUCAAAGUCGACGCUAGAGGAUGCAACGAAUUGUUUUCGAAUCUCCCGGAGUCUACGGUGCGAGCGGACAACGCUUCGCAAAAUGGACGCUCCAGAUUGGCCGCCCGAAUCCCGGUCCCACGCGGACGCCGCCAUUUUCUGUUUACAGGAAGCAUAGCUAAGCAGCCCGCUGCGCAUAACGACAGUGCCUUCGUUUUAUUUCGUUACUUUUCCUUGGGAUUUCGACUCGACAGCGCUACCCCAGCAAGAUCCAGCCUAGGGAUCAGUGCCAAACGCCAUAAAAUGUCCGACUUGGUCAACUCCGUAGCUAUUUUGAUCGUUCCCGGCCGGCAUUUGGUCCCCCGGCCUUGGCCAGUCCAACGGGAAAGACGUUUAUUCGUUUCUCGCUGGUGUUCGGUGACAAAAAGCAAAUUCCAUUCGGUACAGUGAUAAGACGAAAGAGCGGUCUUUCACGAUGAACGGACCAAACGACACCGCGGACGAGGAAUUGACAGUCAUUCGGGUCCUUUUGUUAGCGUUCGAUGAAAAGACUAUUAGACGAAUUUGCCAGAAAUUCGGUGAACCGAGUACCAAGUCGGACGCAGGUGCAACUGGAAUUUAUUUAUUUAAUCGCAUGUGCCAGAUCGCAUGAAAGCUCCCGAACGGAGUGAUUUCAGCUCGACAUUAAUUGUUUUCUUUGUUCUUUUAACCCUUUAGCCCGAAGGGAACGCGUGCCUCGUGAUAAAUAUCUGGAAAUCGGAGCCGUUUACAGGGGUCGCGAUUCGUCGAUUUCGGUGAACUUUCUUGGACCCUAUUCGCGAUGCUGCGAUCGCGUCGAUUCUUCGGUUGGCGAUAAAAGAAGCAUCGGGAAACUUAUAUCGGAAUAGAAGGACGUAAUUACGAGCGGAGUGCGAAGCGUUAAACGGAGAGGAAGCUUGCUCGAUAGUUCUCGGAUGAAAGCUAUAUCGCCAGGCGAGGAGUCGAUCGCCGGAGAACUACGGAGUUAUUUAUUUAUCGCGCGGACGUACACCAUGAGAAAUAUAUUUGUAUGUAACGAUGGACUCUCCUCCGCGAUUUCCCGGCAAUUUCAUUCCGCUCGGAAUUCACGGUACGCACCGAGUCCUUACGUAAGACUCGAAAGAUCAGCGACUCGAGCGCGCCGCGCGUGGAAUGCUGCUUCCAUGUACGCGGGACGUCGAGAAAAUCGUCUGCUUUUCCGAUCGCGACGCUGGACGCGACCUUCCCGUGAUUGUAAAAUUCGGAAAAAAGUGAAAAAACGAGAAAAGAGCAGCGAUCGAAAGGGAACAGGGAGAUCCAUCUUUUCCUCUUCAAUUAUCUGCGAACGUGUUAUGUAUAUUGUUACGUGUCGAAUGCCAUGCAAGAUUAAUUGAUAAUAAACUAACAAUGCAACGGAAAUAAAGGAAACGGUCUAUCAUUUCCUGGACGACGCGCAGCGGGCUCGUCAACGAGGACUUGGACGAUUCUCGACUGGAGCUUGUCGCUCGAGAACCGAUUCCCGCGAGGCUGCCGCGUCUCGUCCAGGGGCCAAGAUUGUUAACACGAUACUGUUAAACAUUAAA